rnacentral:rRNA from 1 species
AACGAACGCUGGCGGCGUGCCUAACACAUGCAAGUCGAACGAGAAAGGGGCUUCGGCUCCGAGUAAAGUGGCGCACGGGUGAGUAACACGUGGGUAACCUGCCUCUAAGAUUGGGAUAACUCGUCGAAAGAUGAGCUAAUACCGAAUAAGACCACAGUUCCCGCGGGAACAGGGGUCAAAGGUAGCCUCUGCUUGCAAGCUAUCACUUAGAGAUGGGCCUGCGCACCAUUAGCUAGUUGGUAGGGUAACGGCCUACCAAGGCAAAGAUGGUUAGCUGGUCUGAGAGGAUGAUCAGCCACACUGGAACUGAGACACGGUCCAGACUCCUACGGGAGGCAGCAGUGGGGAAUAGUGCGCAAUGGGCGAAAGCUUGACGCAGCAACGCCGCGUGAGUGAUGAAGGCCUUCGGGUCGUAAAGCUCUGUCGGGGGGAACGAAUGCUCCUGAGGUUAACAGCCUCGGGAGGUGACGGUACCUUCAAAGGAAGCACCGGCUAACUCUGUG